UCGUCUCCCUCGUCGACGCGGCAGCUCAGAAGGCGCGCGACGUGCCUGCGCGUGAGAUGCCGUGUCGGCGGGGACGAGGACC